UGAUUGAUGGUGCUUGCACCUGAUUGAUUUUGGUCGCCAACGAGUGGCGGACGGGUGAGUAACACGUAGGUAACCUGCCCAGAAGCGGGGGACAACAUUUGGAAACAGAUGCUAAUACCGCAUAACAACGUUGUUCGCAUGAACAACGCUUAAAAGAUGGCUUCUCGCUAUCACUUCUGGAUGGACCUGCGGUGCAUUAGCUUGUUGGUGGGGUAAUGGCCUACCAAGGCGAUGAUGCAUAGCCGAGUUGAGAGACUGAUCGGCCACAAUGGGACUGAGACACGGCCCAUACUCCUACGGGAGGCAGCAGUAGGGAAUCUUCCACAAUGGGCGCAAGCCUGAUGGAGCAACACCGCGUGAGUGAAGAAGGGUUUCGGCUCGUAAAGCUCUGUUGUUAAAGAAGAACACGUAUGAGAGUAACUGUUCAUACGUUGACGGUAUUUAACCAGAAAGUCACGGCUAACUACGUGCCAGCAGCCGCGGUAAUACGUAGGUGGCAAGCGUUAUCCGGAUUUAUUGGGCGUAAAGAGAGUGCAGGCGGUUUUCUAAGUCUGAUGUGAAAGCCUUCGGCUUAACCGGAGAAGUGCAUCGGAAACUGGAUAACUUGAGUGCAGAAGAGGGUAGUGGAACUCCAUGUGUAGCGGUGGAAUGCGUAGAUAUAUGGAAGAACACCAGUGGCGAAGGCGGCUGCUUGGUCUGCAUCUGACGCUGAGAAUCGAAAGCAUGGGUAGCGAACAGGAUUAGAUACCCUGGUAGUCCAUGCCGUAAACGAUGAGUGCUAGGUGUUGGAGGGUUUCCGCCCUUCAGUGCCGGAG
rnacentral:rRNA from 1 species